AGACAGUGGAUGGGGUAAAUGGGUGAUUAAUAAGACCCAUGACCCAGGUUGGUGACUUCCAUUGCACUUUGGAAGGGUGCCCGCCUAAGGUCAGUCCAAGUGGUCGAAUCUAUAUCAUAAUUUGUAGGAGUGGAGGCCUGCGUUCGGGUGCUCCUA